GACAAGACUGGUGGGGCUGAGCUUGGGACCAGUGCCAAGGUCUGUGCAGCCAGGCUUCGGCCCCAGCCCAGGGACCGCACCCGGCUGUGAACUGUCCAGGCCAGUUGGUGAGGAUGACGGGGCAGAACUGGAAAGGCAACCAAACGCGGAAACCCACAGCAAGGCAGCAGCCGACUGGGCCGGGUGAAGCUGAAUCGGCCAGGAGGGCGCCGAGGCCGCGAGUCGGGCCGGAGCAAAGGCGCAGAGGCUGAGGCGCAGGUACGUCCCGGGCGCUGGGUCCUCCGCUGCUUCCCCGGAGCUGCGAUCCCGGCCGGCGCCUGGCGGGAGCGCCGUCCGGGACGCACGGGCGGCCGAUCAGCGGCAGGAAGUUCACGGCAGCUGGGGCUGGCGGCCCAUUGUCCGAUGGCGGUGGCGGAUCGGCGCGCGCGGGCCGGAGGGCGGCGGGACGCGGAAGUGAGUGCGCCAGGAGCAGUCCCUGCUGCUCGCUCGCCGGCUCUGCACGUCCCGAGCCCGCGCGGGGGCGGAGGGGGCGGCCGAGGGGCGGGGACGGCGCGCGGGCGGGCGCCCAGGGUCAGGCCUGCACACGGCAGCGUGGCUGGGCCUCCCGCCCCUAGUCCUGGCUGGAGAACCCCGAGGGGUGCCCCGCAAAUCCGUCCCACGCUCUAGCACUGGGACUGCACGGGAGUUCGCCGCCGCCACUGCCGCCCCCUGCGAAUCCUGGACCGAAUUGGGUGCUCCGACCUCCCUUCCAGUCUCGGGUCCUCAGCCCGGCCCCGCCCCUGGCAGCGCUGGGCGGGGUCCUCCGCUCGGAGACUGGCGGCCUGGGUAGCCUGCACGGGCCCAACACUGGCGCUGGGAGUUUGCGAGGAGUUUGGAGGAUGCCAUUCCUCGCUCCACUGCCUCAGUUUCCCCGGUGGAAAGCCAGCCUUGUGUGCCUUUCGAGGCCGCCACUGUCCAGGCUGUGCCCGCCGCCCGGCUUGCCCGAGGUGCACUAUUGGAGAGGCGCACGGGCAUGUCACCCGUGGCUGGCCCACCGUCCUCUUUGACAGAUCGAGAGACUGAGGCAGAGAGGGGGAAAUGCCCAGGAUGUCAACGUAACCAGCAAAGCGUAGAUGGAGCCCGGGUCCUCUGAAAGAGCGGAAAAGAAGAAAGUCUCGUUGUGCCCGCGGGCAUUUCACGUCCUCAGUGCAGCAGUAAAAGUACGUGCCCUAGUAGGCUCGUUAUUCAUAGAGGGACCCAUCUGCAAGUAGAUCCGCGCGGCUCCAGGGACACCAGGCCUGACACCUUGGCGCCCCCGCAUGGCCCGGGACUCCCUAUACCACUCCCUAUACCAGUUCCCAGGCGAUCCUGGAGAGGUUUCAUUUCCCACACUACAGCCAUCGUGAUCCUAAGGCAAAUACUAGACCAGACACUUCUCUGCCUAAAUCCUCAGCGCUUACCCCAAACUUAAAUUGAAAUCGGCCCCUUGCUGCAGCCUUCCGGGCCUGAUCUGGGGAUCUUCCCUCCCUCCCUGCACUCUAGCUGCAGGAGCUUCCUGGUGUCUGCCCAGAGCUUGCCCCUAAACUGAGUGGCUCAUCUUUCCCAUCCCUGCUGAAGUCACCUCCUCUUAGAGGCCUUCUCGGAGUGGUUCCUGUUGUUCUUUUUCAGCACCCUCUUUACUUCCUGCUCAGUUCUGCCACUCCCCAUCACUGGCAUUACCGCCUGAGCUUCGCAUGCUGAGGACUGCUGCGGUAAGCCCAAAGUGUGGUUAACAGACUCCAUAUCACCAGGGAGCUUGUUGAAAAUGCAGAAUCUUAGGCCCCACUGCCAACCUACUGAAUCAGAAUCUGCAUUUUAAUAUUUCUGGGCGGUUUGUUUGCACAAUAAAGUUUGAG